CUGGCAAAGGAGGUAAACUAGCCUAAGUAGCCUAUAACUGAUUGACUCAAACCAACGAAACAAUUAGGCCGCUCUCACUGUUAGUCGAACUUGUAACAUUGUGGUUAUCAAGCUAACAGCCUACGAGUCUGCAACAUGUUCCAUUAAAGCUAGGUUCAAGAAAACCAUAUAUCAAGCACAAAUUGAUGUAAA